CUUGGAUUAUCAAAAUAUAUUCUGCUGCUUAAGUUUGAAUGAAAACUAUUUUAUUUCAUUAAUUUCCAAAUGUAGCAUCAAUAUUUAGAAAAAAAUUGAGGCUCCUUAAUUUGGAAGUUAGAUUUCUGGCAGUUCAAAUUUCUGGACAAAGCUGUGAGUCAGUCUUCAAACAUCUUCAUGUUCAUACCUUUAGAACAUUCAGUGCUGAUGAUUCAAAGUCACCAACAAAAUUUUCUUUCUUCUUGCAUCUUGAUUUACCAAGAUUCUACCCAGACAUAAAUGUUAUGGAUCCAAUAAUCUAACCUUUGAUGCAGUAGAAAUAAAAGAUGCCUCAUCUUCUCUGUCUCUCAUGGCACAAAUUGAAACUAUAUAAACACAGAAGAAAGAGAAAUUUACUCAAGAGGAACCGAUAAAUAACUUUACAAAAUUUCAGGUAUGAUUUGACUUUCAAGUGUAGACAAAACAUUGAGAUAAGAAAAAUGACCAUUACA
rnacentral:lncRNA from 1 species